UACGUAGGUGGCAAGCGUUGUCCGGAUUUACUGGGUGUAAAGGGCGUGCAGCCGGGGAGACAAGUCAGAUGUGAAAUCCACGGGCUCAACCCGUGAACUGCAUUUGAAACUGUUUCCCUUGAGUGUCGGAGAGGUAAUCGGAAUUCCUUGUGUAGCGGUGAAAUGCGUAGAUAUAAGGAAGAACACCAGUGGCGAAGGCGGAUUACUGGACGAUAACUGACGGUGGGGCGCGAAAGCGUGGGGAGCAAACAGG
rnacentral:rRNA from 1 species